GGAAUCUUCCGCAAUGGGCGAAAGCCUGACGGAGCAACGCCGCGUGAGUGAAGAAGGUCUUCGGAUCGUAAAGCUCUGUCGAAGGGGACGAACGUGGGUUCUAUCAACAACGGAACCUAAUGACGGUACCUUUCAAGAAAGCCACGGCUAACUACGUGCCAGCAGCCGCGGUAAUACGUAGGUGGCGAGCGUUGCCCGGAAUCAUUGGGCGUAAAGGGAGCGCAGGCGGGGGAUCAAGUCUAUCUUAAAAGUUCGGGGCUCAACCCCGUGAUGGGAUAGAAACUGGUUCUCUUGAGUGCAGGAGAGGAAAGCGGAAUUCCUAGUGUAGCGGUGAAAUGCGUAGAUAUUAGGAGGAACACCAGUGGCGAAGGCGGCUUUCUGGACUGUAACUGACGCUGAGGCUCGAAAGCGUGGGGAGCGAACA
rnacentral:rRNA from 1 species